rnacentral:rRNA from 1 species
UGGGGAAUCUUGGACAAUGGGGGCAACCCUGAUCCAGCCAUGCCGCGUGAGUGAUGAAGGCCUUAGGGUCGUAAAGCUCUUUCGCCUGUGAAGAUAAUGACGGUAGCAGGUAAAGAAACCCCGGCUAACUCCGUGCCAGCAGCCGCGGUAAUACGGAGGGGGUUAGCGUUGUUCGGAAUUACUGGGCGUAAAGCGCACGUAGGCGGAUCGGAAAGUUGGGGGUGAAAUCCCGGGGGCUCAACCCCGGAACUGCCUCCAAAACUAUCGGUCUAGAGUUCGAGAGAGGUGAGUGGAAUUCCGAGUGUAGAGGUGAAAUUCGUAGAUAUUUGGAGGAACACCAGUGGCGAAGGCGGCUCACUGGCUCGAUACUGACGCUGAGGUGCGAAAGUGUGGGGAGCAAACAGGAUUAGAUACCCUGGUAGUCCACACCGUAAACGAUGAAUGCCAGUCGUCGGGUAGCAAUGCUAUUCGGUGACACACCUAACGGAUUAAGCAUUCCGCCU